GUGGCGCGGUCGACUGAGAUCGGCAUUGAAGCACGUAGUUACGUGCACCUCUCGACCGGCAAUUACUGGAUGUAUCUUCGACCUACUUCAUCCUUCGUCUCCUUAAGUCCUCAUCAUCGUUUGGCCCUCCUUCCUUCCCUCUACCUUCCUCCAUCAUGGGGUGACGAUGGCGAUGAUACGCACCCUAGCUCUCACUCACAGGCGACGGCGGAGAAGGUGGGUGCGCCGUGCGCGCGAGUCGUCCCGUGGCCAAUAGGGUGAGGCCCUCCUGGUGGGGGAAGACCACAGUGAGUCUGCAGUGCAGCCAUGCAUCUCGCCAGCUCGGUAGUGUGCAGAUCCGACAUGUAUGUGAGGAACUAGGGAUUGGGUACUCUCUCCUCUCCUGCUCUCUUCGAGAUUACUACAGACUGAGACCACCGGAGGAGUUACCAUGGAUCUGAGUAGUUCCUUUUUCCUUCUCACCUAUGAGAAGGUCAACUAUGAGAAUGUUCCACAGAAGGCAAGAGACCGAUUCUUAUUCCUCUUACGCAAAUACUUUAUUUCUGUAUUGUUAGUUCCAAAAGUUUCUUAGACAAUUUUACGAUAUAUUUUGUAUGGUUACUGUCAAUGAUCAAACUAUCUUAUAAGCCUAUUAUGCAUUUAUGCCGCUGACAUGUCUCAUGAUCUAUGAAUGAUUGUCUUUCUUCUGUGGGAAACUGUACCUUAAGAAAAGAGGCUUCAAAUAUAUUUUAGGAUUCUGUGAAUUGUUAGUGCAUGGAGAUCUUACAUGGAGGUGCUUGUUCUCAUGCAUGCUAGCUUCUGCCCUAUGACUUAUAAUCAGAUAUUCUAUGGGCAUUGGGCCAAGAACUGUUGUUUUCUGUUCACUAUAGAAGGUUCUUUUCAAUUGCUACCAUUUGAGGUCAUAUUAGUGCUAAUUAUCUGAUGUGUUCUUGCAUUUCUUGUACUAUUAUUUUUAGUUUUCAGGGGCUGAAAGGUUAGUUUCCUUUUAUUAGAUAGUGCAGAAUGAUUCCUGAAAGCUUUUUUCACCAACCAGUUAAAGACUUGUAACAUGGUUAGUAAUACAAGAAGGUUUAUUGGAUGCCCACUUCCUGCAUGUGUGUGUUAUUAAAAGGCAUGUGUUAGAUAUACAGAUUUACUUAUCCAUGAAGACUUUGGCAAGCACAAUGUUCCCAAACUGAAUAGAACUAAAACUAGGCUUGCAAAUAAUUGUCUACCCUAGAUACCCGGAAGUUGUGUUGCCAAUUUAAUAAUUUUUCAUUCAUCUUAAAUCAAAUAUUUUGACAGGUGAGGACAAUUGUUCUACUUAUGUGCUCUCACACUUAAAUGAAGCAGCUAUCUGAAUUCCAUGAACUGUUUUUAGCUAAUUUUUGCCAUUAUAACUUGGAAUGUUCUUAUUUACUAUCAAACCUAAUUCCAUUUGGCUGGAGUUAACGAAGAUUUAGAGACUUCACCCUGUUUUAGCUCUGCCAUUAUGCACCUUGCGUGUAUACAAAGUAGAUAUAUGGUAUAUAUAAGUUUUCUAUCUAAGUUAAUUCCAAUCUAUGUAUUUUAUUCACACAUACAUUUAAGGGCUGGAGUUCUUGCGUUACUUAUUUGUAAGUGGGCUAUGUUCAGAAUUAGUGGCUUGUAAUUUUCUUUAUAUUGUUUCCAUCAAGGGAGUUGACUCUGAACUCUAUGUAUACUUUGAUUUAAAGAAAAUGGACAACUACUAAUAAGUUCAGCACCAGACUUGUUUUGUUAGCACACCCUCUACCUUACAUAGUUAUGUCCACAUAUGAAUGCUAAAUGAAGCGAUAAGUUCCUAAGUGAAGCUAAUUUAUUUCUCAUCAGGGUAUCCUGUUUUGUGGCCGACUG